GAUGAACGCUGGCGGCGUGCCUAAUACAUGCAAGUCGAGCGAACAGACGAGGAGCUUGCUCCUCUGACGUUAGCGGCGGACGGGUGAGUAACACGUGGAUAACCUACCUAUAAGACUGGGAUAACUUCGGGAAACCGGAGCUAAUACCGGAUGAUAUAUUGAACCGCAUGGUUCAAUAGUGAAAGACGGUUUUGCUGUCACUUAUAGAUGGAUCCGCGCCGCAUUAGCUAGUUGGUAAGGUAACGGCUUACCAAGGCAACGAUGCGUAGCCGACCUGAGAGGGUGAUCGGCCACACUGGAACUGAGACACGGUCCAGACUCCUACGGGAGGCAGCAGUAGGGAAUCUUCCGCAAUGGGCGAAAGCCUGACGGAGCAACGCCGCGUGAGUGAUGAAGGUCUUCGGAUCGUAAAACUCUGUUAUUAGGGAAGAACAAAUGUGUAAGUAACUAUGCACGUCUUGACGGUACCUAAUCAGAAAGCCACGGCUAACUACGUG
rnacentral:rRNA from 1 species